rnacentral:lncRNA from 1 species
UUGGAAUGGUUUGUUAUAUUUGUGGGGAGUCUUUAAAGAGAGGAAGGUGAAUUGCUCAACAUGACUUGCAUCUAUCACAGGACAAUGGCUUAAAAUGGACACCAGUUGGUAGAAGUUGUUUGUGUUUGCAGCAUCAAUGUUCUCCUCUGAAGUCUGGUGGAUAUUUAGCUUCAUACCAGGCUCCUAAUAGUGGUAAAAGUCUCAAGUUUUAUCAAUUUACAUUUCCCUGUCACUGUCACCUCCCACAGCAGGCAUAACAUGGUCAUAUCUGAGGCUUUCAGCCUAAGGAUGCGUAAGCCAUCAGCUUGAUAAAUGAUAAAAUAAUCCAACUGAAGCUUAUCAGUAUAGUGGCGAAAUAUCAUAUGUUUUGAAAUUUAUUUGGUGCACGCUUGUAAAUUAGUAGAGUCUGAAAACUUCAAAUUUCCUGCAAAAAUCUGGAAUUCUAGUUUAUUUCACUUUUCAAAUGACAUCUAUCUCUUAAUAUAAUGAGAUUUACACAGUUCCAAUAGCAUGUAGACCAUAACCUUGAGGUACAAGCACAGACCUAUUCAGUAUGUUCCAGGGGAUUCGAGGGACUCCCAUUCCGUGCAUCCAUACUUUUGAAUUUCUUAAUGUGAUUUGGCAUUUUUGCUUGUUACUUAGGAUAUAGGUUGGCAUUUGAAGUUCUGUUCUUCAGAGUUCAACAAUUAGGAGGAUUCUCGUGAGUACACAUAUGCAGUAAUUAAUGCAUGCCAUGUUGAAAAUGGGAAACUUUGAACAUCUAGAACUUUUCCUUGUGAUGGGAUUUAUCGUUGUGUUUUUUAAGUAUUCAACUUAAAUAAUUGAAAAAUAAUGUUUGGAUACAAAACUUAUUUCAAAUAAUAUUUCGCUUGCAUCAUAAACACAUUUUCCAACCCACCUUUUUAUAUUCCCAAUUACCUUUUUAUCUCACAUACAUCACAUUACAAAAAGUGCUACAGUAAUUAUUCCAAAUAAUAUUUCAAAUAAUACCCUAUCCAAACAAAUCAAUAUAUAACGUUGUCUAAUAUCGGCCUGUUCUGGGGUAAGCACUCUGAUACAUGUACUUAGCAUUAAUAUCCCACUUUUACAGAAUUUGCUGCGCAAGGAGUACCUUUUAGAAUAUAGAGCCUUACACUCAAAAUGAUGAAAUACUUAAAAGACAGUAGGAAAAAAAGAUCCCAAAAGCUAUGAACUACUAAUUUUGGCAAAACGAUGGAUCUGCAUUUUUUGUUUAAAAGCAAAAGAAAAAGAAAAAAAACUUCCUAUUACUUCCAUAAUGUCAUAUUCCAUGGUUCAGAGUUCAUUGCUUAAUCUUUUUCAACAAGUGAUGGAAGAUAGUACAAACUCUUUUACAACCAUAGUUAUUGCUUUGGCCGUGGGAUUAACAUAACCAUAGCCAUGAUAUCCUCCCUCAUCAAAUUUACCUUUCACUGAUGCACCAUUUUCUUCUAAUUUCUUUACCAGCUCAAUCUGACGGUCAAUCAAUGGAUCACCAGCACACCCGAUGACUAAAAUCUUCCAUCCCAGAGCCUUGAUCAGUUGAAAUAGCUGCG